GUACUGCUUGACACUUGGGAUUUGUACCAAAAUGAAGAACAAUGAAAAAUGCAUAAAUGAGAUAUAUCCACAUUGUCAGGGAAUGUAUUUAUUUUUUUUUCUGUCCGCCGAAAAUUAUAUUGUUGUCUUAUCUCAACUACAUCAACGAAGCGGAAAAAAGAAUGUGGACCGAUGUACCCAGGAAACAGCGGUACUGAGCAGGAAGCUCGUAUGAAGGCACACACAGACAUACCCUGUUUCAAGACUGAACAGGUUUAUUUCUCCACUACGGUCCUAUGACAUACAUUGUGGUUGCAGUCACGAAAACAAAAUUACCACAUGAAAUACCAGAAACGCUCAAUUUAUGUUAUGACCCCAAAAUAGGAGCCUACGUCAUGUCCUCAUUAUUGGUUAAUCGCUAUUUACACACAGAAAAACUGUUCACUGCCUGACUACUAGUACUUACUCCUCCACCGUAUCCAGCAGGUGCUCCAGGAUACCCAGGCACCCUAAAGUCAUCAUGGUCGAUGUCAAACUCAAGAUCUGAAAGUGAAUUUCUAUACCCCCAUGGACCCAGGGAAGGUAGAAGAGCUCACCACUUCCACCCACCUACCAUUUAUGAGGACUGAAGAUCUACAGACAACCUUUGUUCCCGAGCUUGUUUCAAGCUAAUAUCACCUGCCACGAAUAAGAAAUGGAUGUUACUAAACCACUGAACCCUGGAGGCAAGGGGCCAGCCUAAAAUGCCUGCUACGUGACUCGCUGGGAUGGCUGACGUGCGAUGAUGCAAACUUCCCCCAGCUGCUUUUACCCCAUAGCCCUGAGGGAAUGUAAAAGACAAUGCAGCGCACCUUGUAGGUCAAGAUCAACACCUUUGAGCAGGUAUUGACUAUACACGUAGCUGCCAACACACUAGCUUAAAACUGCUUACUCCCUUAUAUCACAUUUUUAAUACAGGAGCGUUAAACUGCUAAACUGCAGUCUGUACGCUUUCAGCCCAUAUAAGAAAGACUGUUUACAUUUCCUAAGAUGACUUCACAAUCUUUGGUCCCUGGGAUAAAGAUUUGAGGCUCAUCUUUUCAGUCAUUUACAAUUCUCUAUUCCUGUGUCUUCUGUAUUUGUUACUGAAGUAUAAAGUUUAGCAGAAUGAUUCUAUAAUUAUGACUAGCUACCAAUAACUAAAUUAUGUAACACCCGCUCGCUCAGAGGGGCUACAGAGGGGUUACUUUUAAUAUAGACUGUUGUCCGACUAUGCCAGUUCAGUGUGAUAAGCUAACAAUAAUCAGGUUCUUUUUAUUCAGAUAUAGUGACAAGGUUUAUGUGACAGCACAGUUAAGAGAAACAACACACUGUUCAAUAUCCAAGCGAUCAAUUACAGAUUUUCCAUUAGCAGGUCAUCAUAAUUAAGAUUUAUCAAAAUAGUCAUUUUAAAUCACCAAAGUGCAAACUGCAAUACUGCACUUUAGUAAGAGUACGGUUCGUUAACCAGACGUAAAUUGAGAAUAAUAAUACACUGACCAUUAAACAUGUAACAUGUUGUCUGGGCAGGGGAGGGAACAUCAGAGCGAGAUGAAAAUUUGUAUAACAAUCUCUUACUUUACUUUCCAUACGAAAGGUUCCAAUUAGCAAAUUGCGUAAAUGAUUACAGGUCAUCUUGACCACUGUGACAAUUUCAUGUAUAAAACCAUCCCAGAACCUUAUAACAAUAUUAUUAUAAAAUGGCUUGGAUAAAUAAAAAAAUGUGAUUGGCUAAACAAGGUCACAUGACCGUACAGUAAUAAUUGCCUUUCUGCAGUGCUAGGGCUGUUUUGCCAGAAGUUUUCCCCUCCAGAUCAAGAGGAUUCACAUUUCAGCUCAGGGCAAUCUGGAGGCAAGAAAUGGGCAGAGUUUUUUUUUUUUUAUUUUUUUUAAAGGUACAUUUUAAAUUUUAGAGAAGUUUCUAGAGUUUUUUUUUUUUUCCUGUCUGAAACCAGCUUUUAAAGAAGUGAAGCGUGUUUCAGUAGAUUCCUAUUAAUUGCAUAUGCUACGUGCCUAACAGCUCUAAGCAUUUAACCAGAAUAGACACAUUAUCAUAAGAAAUGUGCUUCACAAUUGUAUGCAAUUGUCAGGUAUACAAUUAAAUGUGCCUGUAAUGCACUGUAUAUUUUACCGAUAAUUGCAUACUCUGGUUAAUUGUAUACAACUUUUAAGCACAGAGGCUAUGUAAUUAACAAUAAUCUACUGUAAAAUGACUUAACAUGAUGUACAUAUUAUUUAAAGUUAGAUUUCAGUGCUACUUGCAUGAAUUGUCUCUUAAUAAAUUCAGAUGUUGAACAUUGCACAACAUUGUGUGUGUUUACAAUUAGGAAAAUAAGGAACUUGCACCCUCAUGCAAAAAUAAAUAAAUAAUAAAAUCUCACUUCGCUGGGGGCUCUUUCUCUAGAGGUAUACGGUGCAAUGCUAAGGUUUUCUAGCAUUUUUUAACCCUAACCCUAACCGGUUACUUUUAAAACAAACAAAGGUUAUUAAAAAAAAAAAAAAUGGCCUUGGAAUGGUGCUAAGUCAAUAGUGAAAAUCGACAGUGGACAGAAGAAUAUGUGUUUAUUUUGCCAGAUCACAAGAAUACAAAGCCAAUAUGCUUAAUGUGCACUUCAACGGUUACAGUCUGCAAGUUGCAACAUCUGCACUUCAAGACGAAUCACAGUCAUUUUAAUGACAGCAUUCCUCUUAAAUCUAAAAUAUGCCAUCUAAAAUCUCCAGAGUUUUACCCUUGUGAUCAGUCGAACAGCAUCCAAACAGGAAAAUGCAACAGCAGCAGCCUCCCUUCGGGUAGCAUGGGUUCUUGCAAAAAAAAAUAAAAUAAAAAAAUCACUGAAGCAGAGAGCCUGUGCAAUAGAAAUGGUCCAUGAAGUGCUCAGUAAUGAAGAGAAAGAGAAGUCAACAAGUCUAGAUCUUGUUAAACAGGCUCUGUUGUCUGACAAGAGCUCAGCAAGAUGCGUGGGCUUGCUUAGGGAGGACUUUCUGUUCUUUAAUUUGAAAAAAAGGCUGCAUUUGAUGAAUCACGUGACAUAAACGACAUUGCCCAGUUGUCAACUUUCGUCCACUUUGUUAUGUUUGCUACCUUUGCAUGGCCAAACCGCCGGUGAAACAAUUUUUUGGAGAAUCAACAAAGUUUUUUGAAAUAGCAAUCUGGUCUUCCGUAAAAUAAACUUGAUCACUCCAUCCAGGGCGUGUCAAGUUGAAAGCAUCAGUCAAUGUACAGCUCUGUCACUGCACUCAACAUUUACCUUAAAGUACAGAAUUAUAUUUUAUAGUGUGGUAAUGUAAAUACCUUCUCAUGAAAACCAAAUAAUAAAGUUAUGUGUCUUUUGCCAAAAAAAAUUAAAUGCAAAUUGGAAUAUGUUAUGAAUAUUUAGCGUAUAUACAUUUGGUUAGCCUGUCGUUUUGAGUGUGUAAAGCAGUCUUUCUUUACUGUACGUCUUCACUGUUGAAAGGGCCUUUACAUUUGACACAGACAUACACGCACCACAAUGCCUUGAUUUUAUAAUGAAUUGUAAAACUGCUUGAACAUGUGUUUUCUACUUGCUAAUCGACUGUUGAAAUUCUGGACACAGAUCGUAUACUGUAAACCCCUGGUUGUGAUAUUGUAGCGUUUCACGCAGGAGACAGAAGAACGGGAGACGACAUGCUGUUUUGCAGUCGAAACUCUUCCUUUUAUUAAGCCACUGUUUAUGAGCACCCUGUAGAGUCCACUGCUUCCACUGCUUCACUGCGGUCCUGGUAAACACACACGCAGCCUGACGAACACUCUCCCAAGCACCCGUUCCAGACACACGCAGCCUGGCGGACACUCUCCCGAGCACUGGCUACAGACACCCACUGCUGGACGCUCUCACGAGCAGCCAAACCAGCGUCGGGGCUCUGUUGCAGCAACCUAGAUGCUUCUCUCAGCACCCAGCUCCAGCAGCUCAGCAUCAGAAACAAGCACAGAAACAACAACACUCUGCACACCCCAAACACACACGCACACAAAACAACAACGACACAGCGCCCUUAUAUAACGUAGCUCCGCCCCUUUAUGCUAACCAUGUGAACAGAUAUCCCAUUGGUCCUCAGCCGCACACCAGAACCAAUGGGCACAGACAAACAACAGCCAAUGACUGGGAGGGAUCAGAAUACAACAGUAAUAACAGUACACGAACACAGUGGAAAUACAGUACGCAAAACAGAUGCACGGAUUGCUACAAUAUUCAUAUACAUACAGUGCUCGCUUGCACACACUUAGCUUUUAUUUCUUGAAACUUUUUUUUCACACAAUACAGAGUACCCUAGUAGUCUGUUGAAAAUAAAUACUCACUUUCUCCAAAACUAAACCUCGCUAAACAAAAUACUUCAGACUGCCGUUGAACAUCUAUUUUAUUUCCUGCAAUGAGAGGUUUAUCUGUUUUCUAGUCUUUUUUUUCCUGAGCUUUCUGAUCCCCGUUUCUUGGA